AUACUUACCUGGAUGGGGUCAAUGGGUGAUCAUGAAGGCCCAUGGCCUAGAACAGCAACUUUCAUUGCACUUGGAAAGGGUGCUGUUGUAAGGUCUGUCCAAGUGACAGAGCCUACAUCAAAAUUUGUGGUAGAGGAGGCCAGCGUUCGCGCGGCCUCUA
rnacentral:snRNA from 1 species